rnacentral:rRNA from 1 species
GACGAACGCUGGCGGCGUGCUUAACACAUGCAAGUCGAACGGAAAGGCCCUGCUUUUGUGGGGUGCUCGAGUGGCGAACGGGUGAGUAACACGUGAGUAACCUGCCCUUGACUUUGGGAUAACUUCAGGAAACUGGGGCUAAUACCGGAUAGGAGCUCCUGCCGCAUGGUGGGGGUUGGAAAGUUUCGGCGGUUGGGGAUGGACUCGCGGCUUAUCAGCUUGUUGGUGGGGUAGUGGCUUACCAAGGCUUUGACGGGUAGCCGGCCUGAGAGGGUGACCGGCCACAAUGGGACUGAGAGACGGCGCAGACUCCUACGGGAGGCAGCAGUGGGGAAUAUGGCACAAUGGGCGGAAGCCUGAUGCAGCAACGCCGCGGGCGGGAUGACGGCCUUCGGGUUGUAAACCGCUUUCGCCUGUGACGAAGCGUGAGUGACGGUAAUGGGUAAAGAAGCACCGGCUAACUACGUG